GUGUUCGCUUCGGCAGCACAUAUACUAAAGUUGGAACAAUACGGAGAUUAACAUGGCCUCUGGGCAAGGAUGACAAGCAAAUUCGUGAGGCGUUUAUAUUAACC